GGCUGCGCUUCCCCGCCGCGUCCUGGCUGCCACCGCUCGGAGAUCUGAGGCUUCGGCCUUUCCCUAGCUUAACCCUGCCCCGGGUUAGACUGCUAUUUAUGCUGGCCUGUGGGAAGUUAGUAACUUUUAGGGAUGCGGGGUGCCUCAGCCAGGUGAGAGUUUGAAGUGUUCUGUAGAGACUCUGUUUGCUUCAGCUGAGCAGCAGCAUGCUGCAGCCUCGGUGUUGGUGACAGUCUUCCUCUGCCUUGUGUUUGGAUGGCUCAUGACUGCCGUAGGAAUGGUCCCAGCUGAUGCCUGGCUGAGUUGGUACGGGUGGUGGAGUUUCCCCGUGGUUUAGGAAUCUGUGCGAUGAAAAAAGUGGAUUUGACAGACACAGAAGAUUACACUUCCACUUGUUCUGAUUCAGGGCAUGUGAGAAGAGAAGGAAAAUUAAUCAGUUAGCCAUCAAAACCACUGAGCAGUACUUGAAUCAGGUGCACAAGGACAGCAUAAAAUUUACCAAAAGGGUAUUGGUUUUGGAAGAACAACCUCUUCAGAAGCUCUCAGAAAUGCCAUUUACCUUGCCUGCUCUAGGAAAUUUCAUCAUGAACACAGAAAUCUCAAAGGCCGUCACAGGUUCAAGGAGGAUAGGAUUAAUUUAAAGCUAAUUAAAUAAUCAAUCAAUUUAAUCACUUUUAAUUCAGGGAGAUCCUACUAUGUGCAGAGUUGGGACUCCUGGGAACACUUUCAGUUGUUUAAAAUGUGUAAUAACUUUUUUAAAGGUGGAGGGCUUGCAUCAAAUUUGGCUGUGAAGUGCUGUGCACAGUGUUUGAUACUAUAGACAUUUUAGGAUGGUUUCCCUGUGGCCUUCUGUGCUUUUUCCAGGGCAGAAUAUGAGCAAGUUUGGUGACUGAUUUUUGCUGUUUUCAUGGGGAUCAAUACAGACAAAUCAUUGGAUCUCAAACCACAAAUUAUAGUAUGGAUGAGAGUUACAAGGCAACUGUGUUGCUCUUUACUACCUUAUCAUUGCCAGAAAUGUUCCAAUGUUAUGCACUUCAGUCAGGACAAAUAGUGGUCACAAGAAGAGGAGAGCAUCCCCUUGAAAUAUGUCACCCUACCUUUGGCUCCUGUGUCAUUUUCAGUUGCUUGUUUUGCAUUGUGCUGUUUGUCUUAAGGAAAGUAGUACCCUUGGUGAGUUGGCUUAGGCUUUACUCGAGGUCUGAAGUAACAAGAAUUCACACGGAUUGUACUUCAGGCUUACAAGAGCUAUAGCAGCAGCCUGUAGGGAAAGCUUGGGGGUUGACCCUUGAUGUAUAUUCCACUAUGCUGGGAGAAAAUAGCAAGUGAGAGAAGAACAGGUGAGGUUCAUUUCAGACAAAUAUUGUUACAUGAGGGCUGCACUGUGACCUCUUUGUAAGUAUGCCGUAGAAAAAAGAAUCCCCAUCCCAAACUUUUUUAAAAACCAUGUCAAAAUGAUACUAGCAGUGGCCAAAGCUCCUUUAAGAGAGUAUGGGACUGCUGUGGGGCUUCCCUGCUGCUCUAGUGUGAGAAGAGACCCUUGGGGGUUGUGAUUCUAAGCAUAUGGGAUAUCAAACAGGUCGCUUUACUGUCUUGGCUUCCUGUCCAGAUUUGAGGUGCUGCUUCCUAUUUAACCUCUCUGUGAAUGCUGUAAGAAAGAGCACUCGAAAUUAGAUGUUCCUCAUUGGAAGCCCCUUCUUAUUCCCAAGUGCCAAGACUUAGUUGAAACUCCUGCAUGUGGCAGGACUGUGGACUUUAGGGAAGGGGGCAUGAGGCUGAAAAGGAACAGCAUCUGUUGGUGCUCAAAGGAUUAGUUGAGGGAUAUGGGAGGAGAUCUUCCUGAAUUUCCAUCAUUUCACAAUAUCCAAAAGGUGUUAGAGUGUUAGGUUUUCCUGGUGAGGGGAGGGCUAGAACUGUAUUGUGAAAGAUUUAAAUACCUUGACCUAUCUCAGAGCUAACAAUUCCUAGAUUUCUGCAAGCUGAAUGGAGGAAAUGGGUACUGCAGAGCGGAAAAGGAUGACUGAUAACACUGCUCAUGAAGAUACUGAGAAGUCAAACAGCCCUGGGUUAAAGACUGGUGAGUUCUACAAUUGCUGACUUGUAAAAUAACAUGAACAAGGGCAAGCAAUUAUCUUGUGCCCAGGCAUUGUAAGAUAAUAAAAAACUAAUGGAAGAGUUACUUGAGUUGCACAUCACUAACAUUUUAUUCUAAG